rnacentral:rRNA from 1 species
CCCAGACUCCUACGGGAGGCAGCAGUGAGGAAUAUUGGUCAAUGGGCGGAAGCCUGAACCAGCCAAGUCGCGUGAGGGAUUAAGGCCCUGCGGGUCGUAAACCUCUUUUGCCGGGGAGCAGAGGUCCGGACGUGUCCGGGCCGGGAGAGUACCCGGAGAAAAAGCAUCGGCUAACUCCGUGCCAGCAGCCGCGGUAAUACGGAGGAUGCGAGCGUUAUCCGGAUUUAUUGGGUUUAAAGGGUGCGCAGGCGGGGAUUUAAGUCAGGGGAAAAAUUGGGGGGCCCACCCCGGACGAGCCGUUGAAACUGGCUUGCUAGAGUGGGCGAGAAGUAUGCGGAAUGCGUGGUGUAGCGGUGAAAUGCAUAGAUAUCACGCAGAACUCCGAUUGCGAAGGCAGCAUACCGGCCCCAACUGACGCUCAGGCACGAAAGCGUGGGUAUCGAACAGGAUUAGAUACCCCAGUA